rnacentral:lncRNA from 15 species
AAUAUUUAUUUGUUUUGAUUUUUAAACAUUAUGGUGGCUACUAAACGCCGUUAACAGCUGUUCUGGAGCUUUCUGCUGUAUCAGAACAGACGUUGAGAAAACUCCUGAAAGCUCCAGAACCGCCACUAAAUGGACCUCGUGGUGAUAUUCUUUUCUCAAAAACUCAAAAUCGACUCAACAGAUGGAAUUUCUGAGCAAGUUUGCGGCCUAAAUUCAGUUUUUCUUCAGUUUUGUGUUUCGUGUCUCCAGUUUGAGUCUGUAAAUGUCAAAGAUCUUUUUCUGUUGCUCUUUACUGAUUUUAAUUUUUCUAGUGAUUCUGUUUUUGGAGACUCAGAUUUAUCUCACGAGAUUUAUCUCAGAUAAAGUUCUGCUCUGUUCUUCAACACUUGAUGCAAAAAAAACCAGACAAAAGGUCAGAAGUUUUAAUUUCAGAGCCGAGCUGCAAAAUCCCCAAAAAUUACUGUCGAGUGAAAAAUCUUAAUUUCAACAUUUAAUCUGAAGAUAAAAGUCAGUAAAUUGUAUUUGAGUGAGAAUUCGUUGGAUUAUUUUGAGCUCGGCUGUGAAAGUUUGGGCCUCAUCGGUGCCUUUGUGGGGUUUCAUCAGUUUAUUUCUGUUUUCUCUUUGAAUCAAAUGUGGCCUUUCCUCACAAACGGCUGCGUCUAUUAAAGCUGAAAUAAAACAAUAAAAGCGUGUCGGAGUGUUUUUAUGACAAUAUUAUUUAGUUUUUCUUUGUUCUUACAGGAUCUUUUUGUUUUUUUCACGUCAUAUUGGCAGAAAUGGGCUUCCACAGUUUCAGUCUUCUCAAACAGGUGUUCACCGGAUGCUGUGGUGUUUCCUCCGGUGAGCUUUACUCUCAGUCAUCGCUCCCACAGUCGGACCCGGUGGAUCCGGUGGACCCGGUGGACCCGACAGGACGAACGGAUCCGGAGUCAAACCUGAACAAUCUGAAACCAACGUCUGUCUGUCUCUCUGUCUGUCUGUCUCUCUCUCUGUCUGUCUCUCUCUCUCUCUCUGUCUGUCUGUCUGUCUCUCUCUCUGUCUGUCUGUCUCUCUCUCUGUGUCUCUCUCUCUGUCUCUCUCUCUCUCUCUCUCUGUCUGUCUGUCUCUCUCUGUCUGUCUGUCU